UUACGGCCAUAUCAUGUUCAAAACACCGGUCCCUAUCCGAUCACCAAAGUUAAGCGACGUUGCUUAACUUCGUCAAUACCUAGAUGGGUGACCGCUUGGGAAUACCAGGUGCUGUAUG